GAAGGAUAGGUUAGAAGCGAAUGGUGGAUGCCUUGGGAUAUUGAUGCGAUGAAAGACGUGGCGUGCCUGCGAUAAGCUUCGGGGAGGUGGCUAGCAACCUUUGAUCCGGAGAUUUCUGAAUGAGGAAACUCAAUACAGCUAAUACUGUAUUAUGUCCCGCUCAGCGGGAUAAGCGUACCCGGUGAAGUAAAACAUUUCAGUAGCCGGAGGAACAGAAAAUAAUGAAAAUUUAUAUUCUUUGCGGUGUCCUCGACGAAAGUCAGGACGAUAUGUACGCAAGGAUUAUGAAUUUUCGCAUUCCCUUAGUAGUGGCGAGCGAACAGGGAACAGCCUAAACCUAGCCUCAUCACACUGCGUGUGAUUCGGAAAUCCGAAGCCCGAAAUCCGAAAUCCGAAACAAAUUCAAAAGUUUCGAAUUUCGAAAUUCGAAUUUCGAGUUUCCGCAUCAUGCUUAGCGUGAUGCGGCUGGGGGUUGCAAGGGUUUAACGUCGGGAGCAUCUUUUUGUUUCACUUUAUUGUGCGACAGGAAGAUGAAUACCGAGGGAGAGCAUUUAGGUAAACCCAGUCAAAUAAAAUCCGCAAGGAUUUUAAUUUUGCGAAAGCAAAAUUAUUUGACCGGGGUAAAGUUUUAAAAGAAGCACUCUGGAAAGCGGCGCCAUAGAAGGUAAUAGCCCUGUACUUAAAAAAACUUUUACGCUCCUUGUUAGAUUUCUUAAGUACUGUCGGGCAUGACAACCUGGCAGGAAUCAGGCCGAACUAUCGGCCAAGGCUAAAUAAUCAAUAUCACCGAUAGUGAACCAGUACCGUGAGGGAAAGGUGAAAAGUAGGGGGUUGACCCCGGUGAAAUAGUACCUGAAACCAUUUGCUUACAAAGAGUCGGAGUCCCGACAUCGCAAGAUGUCGUGGAUGACGGCGUGCUUUUUGCAGAACGAGCCAACGAGUUUGAAUAUUCGAUUUUGUCUAAGCCCUUACGGGGCGGAGGCGUAGCGAAAGCGAGUGUUAAUAGCGCGAAUUUAUCGAAUAUUCAAGACCCGAAGCCAGACGAGCUUGCCAUGGGCAGGAUGAAUCUCGCCGAAAGGCGAGAGGAGGUCCGAACCAGUGAUCCGUGCAAUAAUCUUGGAUGACCCGUGGUAAGGAGUGAAAAGCUAAUCGAGUUUGGUAAUAGCUGGUUCUUCCCGAAACAGCUUUAGGGCUGGCGUCUACAGCCAAAAUAUAGGGGUAGAGCACUGAAUAGAAUUCCUUGGAGUUUCUCCAGGUUUUCUAAUCAAACUCCGAAUACUAUAUUUUUUGUGUAGGCAGUUAGACUGCGGGGGCUAAGCUCCGUGGUCAAAAGAGAAACAGCUCAGAUCAUCGUCUAAGGUCCCUAAAUUAAACUAAGUGUUAUUAAGGAAGUAUUUUGCCCUCGACAGGCAGGAAGUUAGCUUAGAGGUAGC
rfam:Candidatus Azambacteria bacterium RIFCSPHIGHO2_01_FTLL_40_24 rifcsphigho2_01_scaffold_92829, whole genome shotgun sequence.